UGCUCGAGUGGCGAACGGGUGAGUAACACGUGAGUAACCUGCCCUUGACUUUGGGAUAACUUCAGGAAACUGGGGCUAAUACCGGAUAGGAGCUCCUGCUGCAUGGUGGGGGUUGGAAAGUUUCGGCGGUUGGGGAUGGACUCGCGGCUUAUCAGCUUGUUGGUGGGGUAGUGGCUUACCAAGGCGUUGACGGGUAGCCGGCCUGAGAGGGUGACCGGCCACAUUGGGACUGAGAUACGGCCCAG
rnacentral:rRNA from 1 species